AGUCAUCAUGCCCCUUACACCCUGGGCUACACACGUACUACAAUGCUACGGACAAAGGGCAGCAAACUCGCGAGAGCUAGCAAAUCCCAUAAACCGUGGCUCAGUUCAGAUCGUAGGCUGCAACUCGCCUACGUGAAGUAGGAAUCGCUAGUAAUCGCAGGUCAGCAUACUGCGGUGAAUACGUUCCCGGGCCUUGUACACACCGCCCGUCACACCAUGGAAGUUGGCCAUGCCCGAAGUCGUUACUCCAACCCUUGUGGAGGAGGACGCCGAAGGUGGGGCUAAUGACUGGGGUGAAGUCGUAACAAGGUAGCCGUACCGGAAGGUGCGGCUGGAUCACCUCCUAA
rnacentral:rRNA from 1 species